UAGCAUAACAUUGUAAGAAACA
rnacentral:miRNA from 1 species